rnacentral:lncRNA from 1 species
CAGACUUGCCUCCACUAAUAUUUCUCUUCCUUUCACUUCAUAUCGGCCUCAAACCACCUCCUCCUCCACCUCCUCCACUUACUACUGCUCCUCUCCAUUUUCCUCCACCUGUUCCUCUCCACCCAAGCCUUCCACAAUCACUAUCACCUUAAAUAAACCUGACCUAACCUCUUCCACUGUCUCCUCCACCUCCUCCUCCACCUACUUCUCCACUUUUUCCCCACCUCGCAUCAUCUCCACCACCACUGCUACCGUGUGCUUCACCUCCACGAAGAGCCUCAAAAUUGCUUCCACCUCCUCCUCCACCUCCUCCACCUCCUCCUCCACCAGACCUACCUCCACCCCUGCAGAUUAUUUCACCUCCACUUUUUCCACUUCUCCAUAUUUUAACCCCUAUGCUUCCACGUCACCUCCCUCCUCCUCUUCCACUUCCUCCUCCUCCUCCUCCACUUACAAGAGGCCCCGUGAUCCGCCAAAAAGUGGAGAGCUAGGGCGGAAGAGAAUCAGGCAGCCAUUUUCCCUCCUCCAGAGCCCCUAGAGAGUGAAGUAAGUGGAUUCAAGUGGAUUUUAAGUGGAUUUUAAUGACUAUAAGAGGAUUUUAGUGGAUUUUGAUGAAGUUAAGUGGAUUUUGAUUGAUUUAAGUGGAUUUUUGUAAAUUUAAGAGUAUUUUGGUGGAUUUAAGUGGAUUUUAAAUGAUUGUAAGAGGAUUUUGUUGCAUUUAAGUGGAUUUUGAUGCAUUUAAGUGGAUUUUGAUUUAUUUAAGUGGAUUUUAAAUGAUUGUAAUAGGAUUUUUGUGGAUUUAAGUGGAUUUUGAUUAUUUUAAGUGGAUUUUGAUUGAUUGAAGUGGAUUUUGGUGUAUUAUAAGUGGAAUUUGAUACUUUAAGUGUGCUUUUGUUAGUGUUAAGUGGAGUGAAGUGGAUCUAAGUACAUUUAAGAGGUCUGGGGUGGAAAUGUUGUAAGUGGAGUUACAAGAUUAUUUUGUAGGUUUUAAGUGGAAAUAGAUGGUUUUUAUUCAGUUUUAAGUGAGAGAGAGAGAGAGAGAGAGAGCUUAAAGACAGGAAAAGGAAGAAAAGGAAAAAAUAGAAGAGAGAGAGAGAGAGUGAGAGAGAGAGAGAGAGAGAGAGAGAGAGAUAAUUAAUGAACUCUACAGGUAAACAUUGGGGCAAACAAAAGACAGGUAAACAUUCCAGCUACAAGUACAAUGAAGGUUAGGUUAAGUUAGGUCAGGUUAGGUUGUAAAUGGAUUCUGUUGGUAAUUAAGUGGAUUUAAGUGGAUUUUGAUGGUUUAUAAGUGGGUUUUUGUAAUUAAGUGAAAUUAUAAGUGUGUGUGUGUGUGUGUGUGUACUUUUAAUAUUACCAGUUUUAUUCGAACAAACUAGAUAAUUGUAAAAAACGCUCUGGAUUCUUUAGGUUAGGCUUGGUGUGUGUGUGUGUGUGUGUGUGUGUGUGUGUGUGUGUGUGUGUGUGUGUGUGCGCUUUCAGUAUUAUGAAGAAUCUCGGCCUAAGAUCUAAGAGUAAUGUCUUUAUAAAUCCGUGCGUCAGUGUAGAAUUUAGCGAUGAAAUAGAGAUUAAUUAUAUUUUUGUGUGGGGUGAAAAAUUGGUGUUAAUUUUGUAUAGAAAUGGAUUAGUGAUAGACAGACUGAUAGAUAGAUGGUUAUAGAUAAAGAUAGAUAAAGAAAUGAGAGGAAGAAGGAGAAAAUAAAAGAAAAGAAGAGGAAGAAGA